rnacentral:rRNA from 1 species
UACGGGGGGGGCAAGCGUUGUUCGGAAUUACUGGGCGUAAAGGGCUUGUAGGUGGCCAACUAAGUCAGACGUGAAAUCCCUCAGCUUAACUGGGGAACUGCGUCUGAUACUGGAUGGCUUGAGUUUGGGAGAGGGAUGCGGAAUUCCAGGUGUAGCGGUGAAAUGCGUAGAGAUCGGGAAGAACAUCAGUGGCGAAGGCGGUCUGCUGGGCCGUUGCUGACGCUGAGGCGCGACAGCGUGGGGAGCAAACAGG